rnacentral:rRNA from 1 species
UACGAAGGGGGCUAGCGUUGCUCGGAAUCACUGGGCGUAAAGCGCACGUAGGCGGCUUUUUAAGUCAGGGGUGAAAUCCUGGAGCUCAACUCCAGAACUGCCUUUGAUACUGAGAAGCUCGAGUCCGGAAGAGGUGAGUGGAACUGCGAGUGUAGAGGUGAAAUUCGUAGAUAUUCGCAAGAACACCAGUGGCGAAGGCGGCUCACUGGCCCGGUACUGACGCUGAGGUGCGAAAGCGUGGGGAGCAAGCAGG